rnacentral:rRNA from 1 species
UAGGGAAUCUUCCGCAAUGGGCGAAAGCCUGACGGAGCAACGCCGCGUGAGUGAUGAAGGUCUUCGGAUCGUAAAACUCUGUUAUUAGGGAAGAACAAAUGUGUAAGUAACUAUGCACGUCUUGACGGUACCUAAUCAGAAAGCCACGGCUAACUACGUGCCAGCAGCCGCGGUAAUACGUAGGUGGCAAGCGUUAUCCGGAAUUAUUGGGCGUAAAGCGCGCGUAGGCGGUUUUUUAAGUCUGAUGUGAAAGCCCACGGCUCAACCGUGGAGGGUCAUUGGAAACUGGAAAACUUGAGUGCAGAAGAGGAAAGUGGAAUUCCAUGUGUAGCGGUGAAAUGCGCAGAGAUAUGGAGGAACACCAGUGGCGAAGGCGACUUUCUGGUCUGUAACUGACGCUGAUGUGCGAAAGCGUGGGUAUCAAACAGG